AUUGAACGCUGGCGGCAGGCUUAACACAUGCAAGUCGAGCGGGGUGAUGGUGCUUGCACUAUCACUUAGCGGCGGACGGGUGAGUAAUGCUUAGGAAUCUGCCUAUUAGUGGGGGACAACAUCUCGAAAGGGAUGCUAAUACCGCAUACGUCCUACGGGAGAAAGCAGGGGAUCACUUGUGACCUUGCGCUAAUAGAUGAGCCUAAGUCGGAUUAGCUAGUUGGUGGGGUAAAGGCCUACCAAGGCGACGAUCUGUAGCGGGUCUGAGAGGAUGAUCCGCCACACUGGGACUGAGACACGGCCCAGACUCCUACGGGAGGCAGCAGUGGGGAAUAUUGGACAAUGGGGGGAACCCUGAUCCAGCCAUGCCGCGUGUGGGAAGAAGGCCUUAUAGUUGUAAAGCACUUUAAGCGAGGAGGAGGCUCUUUUGGUUAAUACCCAAGAUGAGUGGACGUUACUCGCAGAAUAAGCACCGGCUAACUCUGUGCCAGCAGCCGCCGUAA
rnacentral:rRNA from 1 species